rnacentral:rRNA from 1 species
AUACGUAGGGUGCAAGCGUUAAUCGGAAUUACUGGGCGUAAAGCGUGCGCAGGCGGUUUUGUAAGACAGAGGGGAAAUCCCCGGGCUCAACCUGGGAACUGCCUUUGUGACUGCAAGGCUAGAGUACGGCAGAGGGGGGUGGAAUUCCGCGUGUAGCAGGGAGAUGCGUAGAUAUGCGGAGGAACACCGAUGGCGAAGGCAAUCCCCUGGGCCUGUACUGACGCUCAUGCACGAAAGCGUGGGGAGCAAACAGGAUUAGAUACCCUGGUAGUCCACGCCCUAAACGAUGUCAACUGGUUGUUGGGUCUUCAUUGACUCAGUAACGAAGCUAACGCGUGAAGUUGACCGCCUGGGGAGUACGGCCGCAAGGUUGAAACUCAAAUGAAUUGACGGGG